AAAACUCUGUUGUUAGGGAAGAACAAGUACCAUUCGAAUAGGGUGGUACCUUGACGGUACCUAACCAGAAAGCCACGGCUAACUACGUGCCAGCAGCCGCGGUAAUACGUAGGUGGCAAGCGUUGUCCGGAAUUAUUGGGCGUAAAGCGCGCGCAGGCGGUCCCUUAAGUCUGAUGUGAAAGCCCACGGCUCAACCGUGGAGGGUCAUUGGAAACUGGGGGACUUGAGUACAGAAGAGGAAAGCGGAAUUCCACGUGUAGCGGUGAAAUGCGUAGAGAUGUGGAGGAACACCAGUGGCGAAGGCGGCUUUCUGGUCUGUAACUGACGCUGAGGCGCGAAGGCGUGGGGAGCGAACGGGAUUAGAUACCCUGGUAGUCCACGCCGUAAACGAUGAGUGCUAAGUGUUAGAGGGUUUCCGCCCUUUAGUGCUGCAGCAAACGCAUUAAGCACUCCGCCUGGGGAGUACGGCCGCAAGGCUGAAACUCAAAGGAAUUGACGGGGGCCCGCACAAGCGGUGGAGCAUGUGGUUUAAUUCGAUGAUACGCGAGGAACCUUACCUAGGCUAGAAUGCGCGUGACAGGAGCAGAGAUGCUCCCUUCCUUCGGGACACAAAGCAAGGU
rnacentral:rRNA from 1 species